UAGGGAAUCUUCCACAAUGGACGCAAGUCUGAUGGAGCAACGCCGCGUGAGUGAAGAAGGUUUUCGGACCGUAAAGCUCUGUUGUUGGUGAAGAAGGAUAGAGGUAGUAACUGGCCUUUAUUUGACGGUAAUCAACCAGAAAGUCACGGCUAACUACGUGCCAGCAGCCGCGGUAAUACGUAGGUGGCAAGCGUUGUCCUGAUUUAUUGGGCGUAAAGCGAGCGCAGGCGGAAGAAUAAGUCUGAUGUGAAAGCCCUCGGCUUAACCGAGGAAUUGCAUCGGAAACUGUUUUCUUGAGUGCAGGAGAGGAGAGUAGAACUCCAUGUGUAGCGGUGGAAUGCGUAGAUAUAUGGAAGAAUACCAGUGGCGAAGGCGGCUCUCUGGUCUGCAACUGACGCUGAGGCUCGAAAGCAUGGGUAGCGAACAGGAUUAGAUACCCUGGUAGUCCAUGCCGUAAACGAUGAGUGCUAAGUGUUGGGAGGCUUCCGCCUCUCAGUGCUGCAGCUAACGCAUUAAGCACUCCGCCUGGGGGAGUACGACCGCAAGGUUGAAAC
rnacentral:rRNA from 1 species